GAGAGCAGCGAGAGAGAGGAGGGGGGAGAGGGAGAAGCAGCUAGAAUAAUGUUUAUAAACCACUUCAAAGUUUAUAAACCAGAAACUUCACACAGCGCACGUUACCGGAGGAAUCUGAUCAGAAAUCGGCGACAAAUGAUCAACAUCUGCGGUCCAGAUUCAGGUUUUCCUGACGGUUUCUCUCAGAUCCAUCUGUGAGAAAUGACUGACAGAAUCAUCCCAGAGGAGAAGAAAACAUUAGCAGUGAGCAAAUAGCUCUGUUUACAUGGAGAUACAGAGCUAACCCGUUAGCAUGUAGCUACAUGCUAACGGGUUAGCUACAUGCUACCGCUAUGAGACGGUGUGUAACCACAGCGACCAUCAGGGUGGAAAAUAGAAGAUGUGAAACAGUAGUCAGUUCAUUAUUUCUGGUAAAGACACCUGAUAAAUGUAUGGAAGAUCAGAGUAAUGGUAUAUUAUUUACAGUAGGAGCUGUCUCUGUGUUACCAUGACUACAGACCACCGGAGCUUAGUUUACCGGAGCUGAAAGACUUUCUCCUGUACCAUGUCAGCAUAACUGAUGAUUACAAAUGCUGUGAAUAAUUAAUAUUGUCAUCUGUCUACUCAAAUAAAGUUUGACUGUGAAACAGAAAUGUGUUGUGUUGCUUACAAGUCACUAUUUAUUACCUGUAGCCUACUCUUCUACAUGCAUGACAUCAAAUAUAUAUGAUCUAUAAAUAUCACCUGUUGAAACAGUGUAAUUACAUAAAGCUUUUGUGAAGGAACAUGUUAUAUUUAGAUGAUGGGAGUACAUGAAGCCUGUUCUGCUGGUUCUUGCAGACUAACAGGAGCUACUUUGCUCAUAGUUUGGUUGAGAGUGGGGGGCGGGGUCAGUUAGCUGAAGGUUCUGCUCUGGUUCGACCAGGAAACCCUUACAUGGCUUGCAAUUUUCUAAUGACGUCAGAAGAGAAGGAAAAAAAGCUAAGUGAUUUUCUACACCUAUUUCCGGACAAACGGAGCAGGAGAAAAAGAGAGAGGAUGGUCUUUUAUGAUACUAUGGUGACCUGUAGACACACUGGGGACAGAUAUUGAUGUU